rnacentral:rRNA from 1 species
AUUGAACGCUGGCGGCAGGCCUAACACAUGCAAGUCGAACGGCAGCGGGGGAUAGCUUGCUAUCCUGCCGGCGAGUGGCGGACGGGUGAGUAAUGCAUGGGGAGCUGCCCAAUCGAGGGGGAUAACAACUGGAAACGGUUGCUAAUACCGCAUACGCCCUGCGGGGGAAAGGUGGGGACCUUCGGGCCUACCGCGAUUGGAUGCACCCAUGUGGGAUUAGCUGGUUGGUGAGGUAACGGCUCACCAAGGCGACGAUCUCUAGCUGGUCUGAGAGGAAUAACAGCCACACUGGAACUGAGACACGGUCCAGACUCCUACGGGAGGCAGCAGUGGGGAAUAUUGCACAAUGGGGGAAACCCUGAUGCAGCCAUGCCGCGUGUGUGAAGAAGGCCUUCGGGUUGUAAAGCACUUUCAGUGGGGAGGAAGGGGAGUAAGCUAAUAACUUGCUUCAUUGACGUUACCCACAGAAGAAGCACCGGCUAACUCCGUGCCAGCAGCCGCAGUAACAC